rnacentral:tRNA from 1 species
GAGGGUAUAGCUCAAGUGGUAGAGUGUAUGCUUAGCAUGCAGAAGGUCCUGGGUUCAAUCCCCAGUACUUCCU